UUCCAGACUCCUACGGGAGGCAGCAGUGGGGAAUAUUGCACAAUGGGGGAAACCCUGAUGCAGCGACGCCGCGUGAGUGAAGAAGUAUUUCGGUAUGUAAAGCUCUAUCAGCAGGGAAGAAGCAGACGGUACCUGACUAAGAAGCCCCGGCUAACUACGUGCCAGCAGCCGCGGUAAUACGUAGGGGGCAAGCGUUAUCCGGAUUUACUGGGUGUAAAGGGAGCGUAGACGGCUAAGCAAGUCUGAAGUGAAAGCCCGGGGCUUAACCCCGGGACUGCUUUGGAAACUGUUAAGCUAGAGUGCUGGAGAGGUAAGUGGAAUUCCUAGUGUAGCGGUGAAAUGCGUAGAUAUUAGGAGGAACACCAGUGGCGAAGGCGGCUUACUGGACAGUAACUGACGUUGAGGCUCGAAAGCGUGGGGAGCAAACAGGAUUAGAUACCCGUGUACUG
rnacentral:rRNA from 1 species